GCCCCCAUAGCUCAGUUGGUAGAGCGCGGCACUAGUAUCAUCACUGAUCUAUCAUAUGCCGAGGUCUGCAGUUCAACUCUGUAUGUGGGCAA
rnacentral:tRNA from 1 species